AGAUGCGAUCAUACCAGCACUAAAGCACCAGAUCCCAUCGGAACUCCGAAAUUAAGCGUGCUUGGGCGAGAGUAGUACUAGGAUGGGUGACCUCCUGGAAGUCCUCGUGUUGCAUUCC
rnacentral:rRNA from 1 species